UCCUAUGGAUGAAAAAGAAAGUGGUUUCUUGAGAUGGAAUCUACUUCUGGUAAAGAUGCUGCAAA
rnacentral:pre_miRNA from 1 species